rnacentral:rRNA from 1 species
CAUUCACGGAGAGUUUGAUCCUGGCUCAGGACGAACGCUGGCGGCGUGCUUAACACAUGCAAGUCGAACGAUGAACCACCUUCGGGUGGGGAUUAGUGGCGAACGGGUGAGUAACACGUGGGCAAUCUGCCCUGCACUCUGGGACAAGCCCUGGAAACGGGGUCUAAUACCGGAUACUGAA